rnacentral:rRNA from 1 species
UACGGGGGGGAGCAAGCGUUGUUCGGAUUUACUGGGCGUAAAGGGCGCGUAGGCGGCGUGACAAGUCACUUGUGAAAUCUCCGGGCUUAACUCGGAACGGUCAAGUGAUACUGUCGUGCUAGAGUACAGAAGGGGCAACUGGAAUUCUCGGUGUAGCGGUGAAAUGCGUAGAUAUCGAGAGGAACACCUGCGGCGAAGGCGGGUUGCUGGGCUGAUACUGACGCUGAGGCGCGAAAGCUAGGGGAGCGAACGGG